rnacentral:rRNA from 1 species
CGAACGGGUGAGUAACGCGUGAGGAACCUGCCUCAAAGAGGGGGACAACAGUUGGAAACGACUGCUAAUACCGCAUAAGCCCACGACCCGGCAUCGGGUAGAGGGAGAAGGAGCAAUCCGCUUUGAGAUGGCCUCGCGUCCGAUUAGCUAGUUGGUGAGGUAAUGGCCCACCAAGGCGACGAUCGGUAGCCGGACUGAGAGGUUGAACGGCCACAUUGGGACUGAGACACGGCCCAG